CACUGUAGGAACCUUGGCUGUUCUGUCGGUUCUCACCAGAAGGGUCUGUACUGCUGUUGUCAGUGGUCAGCGCUUGAAAAGUCGCUCCUGUCAAAGCUUUUAUAGUGAGUGAAACGUCGGAGCAGAAUUGUCUUGUCGCUGUCAGGACUCAGGCUUCUGGCUGCCGCACGUCAUCAUGUGACACUGGUUUCAUCUCCUCCUCCUCCUCCUCCUCCUCUUCAUCUACAGCUUCAUCAUCAAACAGCUCCAAUGGAUUGAAGUGGUUUUUCCUGCUAGAAUCUCUCCUGGCUGAUCGUGUUAUUUUAAAUAUGGUGUAACUGUAUCAUUAUUAUCAUGAUGUAACAUCCCAUAAUGACACAGCAGUAUUAAAUAUAUCUUAUUUUGUUCA